rnacentral:rRNA from 1 species
UGGGGAAUUUUGGACAAUGGGGGAAACCCUGAUCCAGCCAUCCCGCGUGUGCGAUGAAGGCCUUCGGGUUGUAAAGCACUUUUGGCAGGAAAGAAACGUCAUGGGUUAAUACCCCGUGAAACUGACGGUACCUGCAGAAUAAGCACCGGCUAACUACGUGCCAGCAGCCGCGGUAAUACGUAGGGUGCAAGCGUUAAUCGGAAUUACUGGGCGUAAAGCGUGCGCAGGCGGUUCGGAAAGAAAGAUGUGAAAUCCCAGAGCUCAACUUUGGAACUGCAUUUUUAACUACCGGGCUAGAGUGUGUCAGAGGGAGGUGGAAUUCCGCGUGUAGCAGUGAAAUGCGUAGAUAUGCGGAGGACACCGAUGGCGAAGGCAGCCUCCUGGGAUAACACUGACGCUCAUGCACGAAAGCGUGGGGAGCAAACAGG